rnacentral:lncRNA from 1 species
UCUUGGGUCGGGUCUAAUAACCCUGACCUUGGACUUCCCACGUGUCCUUCAAAGAAAGCAAUUAUUUUUGCCUAUUUUCUGAGUAUGAUGGUAUUCUCCAUUUGAUUUAACAAAAAAAUUCUUCCUCUGCUUUAAAAGACUGAAAGCCUCCCUGUAAGGUGCUGAUUGCCUUCCAGAUCUGAGGACCCCGUCUCUGCCUCAUUCCUCCUGUUUCCAUCAGAAGACACAGGUCUGGGACUCAGCGCAGCUGACCUGUCUGUCCCUCUCUGCACAGUUUACUCCUGGGCUCUGCAGAGAGAAGUCAGUGCCUCAAUUUUCCAUUGAAAUAUGCACCCUUGGCAUCCUGGCAGGAGUGGCAGCCACAGCAAAACAUCUUCUGCAGCGUCUGGCCAGGGCGUUACUCCAGCCCAGUUUUGCCCUGGACUAGAUUGAGUCAGGUCGUGCAUGGAACGCAAGCACAAACCACGGUCAGCUCCUCGAGACUGACCCACUGGCCCACUGAGCAGAGGAGCCCCUGGGUCUCUGGACGCUGCCCAGUUGUUGACAUCCUGAGGCAGGUUUGCGGCUGAUGGAGCAACAGGGACGGGCUGGGCCCGGCACCUUUUUCACGGAAAUGAUGAGCUCUGGACAGCAGUGAUGCCAGGGCCCAUAAAGCCUCAGGCGCCCGUCAUUGCUGCUGCCUGCGUGUGCUCGCUCACCGCGACGGCGGCGGGCUGGAGGAAGCUGUGCAAGAGCCAAGUGUCUACCAUGAGUCUGCAUGUUCAUAUGGUUCAGAUUUGCCUUGGAAUCCCCGCGAGCCAAACUCUUUCAUUUCACUUAG